rnacentral:rRNA from 1 species
UACGGGGGGGGGGCAAGCGUUGUUCGGAAUUACUGGGCGUAAAGGGCUCGUAGGCGGCCAACUAAGUCAUACGUGAAAUCCCUCGGCUUAACCGGGGAACUGCGUCUGAUACUGGAUGGCUUGAGAUUGGGGAGAGGGAUGCGGAAUUCCGAGGUGAGCGGUGAAAUGCGUAGAUAUCUGGAGGAACACCGGUGGCGAAGGCGGAUCCUGGACCAACACUGACGCUGAGGAGCGAAAAGCCAGGGGAGCAAACGGG